CUCUUCCCUCCCCACCUUCAGACUCAUGCCAGUUAAGAAAAAUGCUCUUUGUCUUUGUGAAGCCUCUUUGCAACAAAAUAGACCAGUAGCUGAAGGCAACUGCAAUCCUUCAUGAUGUUUCCCUUGGCCAGAAAUGCACUAAGCAGUCUCAAGAUUCAAAGCAUUCUGCAAAGCAUGGCAAGACAUAGCCAUGUAAAACACUCACCAGA
rnacentral:lncRNA from 1 species